UGCAGGCACUAAUAAAUUUGGAACAAUAAAGUAUUAUUACCUUGGUCUUCCAGACAAGAUUAGAACAUGGUACUCUGAUUCUACCAUGUGCAAAAAAAUGUUGGCUCAUUGGCUUAAUAAAGAUAACUGGAUCAGUGGAGUUGGAGCAAAUUUAGAGUGGAGUGAAGUUUGGGGUGGUACACGAUUUAGUGAGCUUGCAUGGUUUUGGGACCCAGACAAAGAGUGGAUGUUACCAUACAAAUGCAAAUAUUGUCUCAACGUAAUAAGUGUUGAAGAAAUUGUGGGCUUUCCAGAGAGAGAUGGGAUUUACACAAUACAGUGUGAAGAUUGUGGUGAAAAGAGCGAGUACCAACCUCAAUUUGCCAGAGGAGAACCACGCAAUAUUGGACUAAUAGGACAUUGGGACGGUUGGCAGCCAUUUGGUUCCCCAGGCAAGCAUAGUUGUGGGGCAAUUGAAGUUUCAAUAGCAAAUAUGAACAAGCAAGACAGAAGUGCAAUUGAGGAGGUGUAUGUGAUUGGAUUUGUUCCAAAUUACUUGUUACCAAAAAAGCGACCAUGUACCCUUGAUCCAUUUCUACAUCCACUCAUCUCAGACAUUGAAAGCAUUGUUAUAAAUGGUUAUCAUGUUGAUUAUGUUGGAGACUUUCCCGAGAUAAACAUAAGACCUGGAAACGUUGUUCGUGUUUUACUGCUAUUGUGGACAGGAGACUAUGUUGCACAAUGUGAAAUUGGCAAGUUUAUUAAAUGUGGGAUAAAAGCUUGCAGAAGGGAUAAACUCACAGGUAUUUUGUUAAAAAAAGUAAUACUUUUGCUCUUAUAGAACCUUUAAAGUGCUAGUCUUGCCAAAAUAACACGCAUCAAAAACAGGUUUUAUGUAUUCCAUAUCGUUGAAAUAACCGUAAAUGCUAACAAUUAACAAAGUUUGAUCCAUAAAAGCUCUGUUUCCAUUUGAGUUUUAAUGCUAAAAGACAGCAACAAUCCCGUCCGCCAUUAAUAUGAAUAAGCGAUUUUUUGAAUCAGCGGUUGCACNCUAUGACGUCAGAGGCGCACUUCGAGCAGAGACAACNAGAGAAAAUAUAUGGCGAGUGAUCUUGCUGAAUUCAACUCUGACUCUGACUGUUCAUCUUCUUUGACAUCCUUGCAUGGCUGGUUGUCGGAGGGGGAACUAGAAGNCCUAGAACCGAUAGCAACGGAAAAAGAAGUUGAGGACUACGAGAAAAAAGUCGCUCGUGAAGAAGAAGAAGAACGACAACAGAACGAACGCUUUUGUGGCGAGAAAGAUAUCAAAGAAUGGUACAUAUGCGGACAUUGCGAUCUUUUACACGUGGUAAAGCCUGACGAGUGUAGCUGUUGUGUGGAGUACGAGAAAUGUCGCAGUGAAUUGGAAUGCCUGGAUCAACCUCCAACGUGUAUUACCGCUCAUCCAGCUUUUGAAGACAUUUGUCUUAAAAAAUGGGUUCUUGAGGUGGCCGCCGUCGGUUUGAGAACAAGAAACAAAAGGCUUUAUACAAAGAUGCGNCAAGAAGGACGAAGGACAGAUUCAGAGUUUUAUCGUGCAGUUUCUUAUCGUCAAUAUAUGCGUUUUAUGUACGGCUACAUUGGUAACUAUAGACUUGCGCUCCCUUGUUGUGUUUACAACAAAAUACGAGGGAAAUUCCCUGACGAGAAUAAAAAAUACCGUGGGUUUGAGCUUGAACCAGAAGAAGAAGAUGAUGAGGAAGGAGAAAGUGAAGAUGUUUCAGGUGAUGAACAGUCCGGAUAGUAUUUUUUAUUACAUUUUAAAAAAUUCACAUGUAUAAUUAGCAUCUUUCUCUGACACUUGACAAAUGUAUAAUAUUUUUUCCACAAAAAGGCAUUGUAUACAAUAUCAUAAUAAUCAAGACCUAAUAUCAAUCGAUAAAACUGGUAAUCUCUUACUUUGAAAUCAAGUAAACUAGCUAUUUUUUUCUUACAAAUGUAGAGACCAUUAACUUUUUUUGGGUGGUUUUUCAUCGGUUUUUCACAGUUUUUACAGCAUGGAGCCUUUCUCUUCUCUUUGGGCAUUACUGGAGGAUUUAAUAAUUGCUCUAGUUCUUGAUCUGUAGAUGUAUGAAUAUGUUUGAAGACAAUAAAAUCAUGCAUGUAUAUUG
rnacentral:misc_RNA from 1 species